AUGACGUGGCGCCAGAAGUCCACGACACCAUGUGUGACAGUGUGGUCACGCAAGAAAACAACAAAUACGUGUUGCCAGAACAACCGGAAACUUCGGCAACACAGAGCGAUGCUCCAGACGAUGGCGCGCGGCGAGACGCGUCAGGGACCUCACCUGGAUCAGCUGGCGUCCCAGGAACAGGAGUUGCAGCCUCUCCUCGAAGCACAAGGAGCAGCACCUGGAUCAGCUGGCGUCCCAGGAACAGGAGUUGCAGCCUCUCCUCGAAGCACAAGGAGCAGCGCGAGGAGCGCGUCCAGUGCUGGCGCUACAAGCGACAAGCAUGGCCUACGAGGCGUGCACGCUGUGCCAUGCAGCUCAGCCAGCUGCACUGGAGGCAGUGGCCCCACGGACGGGCCGAAAGCUGGGCGUGACCCAGCACCAAGCUCCCAGCCGGGGAGCCCAGCAGGCAGGCCGGCUACUGGCAGGCCAGAACAGCCAGAAGUCCCAAGCCACGUGUCAGGAAGUCUAGAAGGGCAUGCACGUGAAGGUGCUCCAGAUUUCAUGGCUGUUUCAUCUGGUGAACGUCCAACCAGCUCGGGAGUGCCCCAAUCGCCAGAAAAUGAAACUUUGGCAAGUUCAGAAGCAAUUGUGUCUUCUCCGAUAGCACAGGAGCGACGCAGUCGCGCCUUGGACAUCUCUUCAGAGGAAGCGCUUCAAAUUAAUUCGGUGAAGAUGAAGAGUAAAGAGCAACGACGUUGGUAUAUCGAGGAACCGGAAAAUUUCGAAGAUGCAAAGACGGAAGAGUGUUGGCGUCGUGCUAUGGAUGACGAAUUGGGUUCGAUCCGAGACAACAAUACAUGGGAGCUCGCGGAUCUUCCCAACGGACAUAAUGCCAUAGAGCUCAAGUGGGAGUACGAAGUUAAGAAGGGUGCCGAAGGGAACUUGGUGAAGCACAAAGCAAGGCUCGUGGCUAAGUCAAACGUGCAAGACCAAGGUGUGGACUUCGAAGAAGUGUUCGCUCCACUUACAAGGAUGGACACGGUGAGGCUACUUAUAGCUCUCGCGGCUCAAGAAUCUUGGACUCUACAUCACAUGGAUGUGAACUCCACGUUGUUGACUGGGGAGUUAGAAGAAGAGUUGUAUGUGAAGCAACCACCGGGGUACAUCCAAGAAGGAGAGGAACACAAGGUAUUGAAGCUACAGAAGGCGUUGUAUGGGCUACGACAAGCUCCUAGGGCAUGGAAUACGAAGCUUGACAGUACAUUGAUUUCUCUUGGGUUUGAGAAAGCCCCACUAGAGCAUGCAUUGUACAAGCGAGGCGAAGGAAGUGAUCGUCUACUAGUGGGCAUCUAUGUAGAUGAUCUAUUGAUUACUGGAGCAGACGAUGAGGUGAUUGCAAACUUCAAGCUACAAAUGGAGGAGCUAUUCAAGAUGACUGAUCUAGGGCUCUUGAGUUACUACCUCGGGAUCGAGAUACAGCAAAAGCCGGAGGGGAUCAUAAUAUGCCAGGAGGCAUAUGCAAAGAAGGUACUUGAAAGCUGUGGCAUGAAAGAUUGCAAUCCAAGUCAUGUUCCGAUGAAGCCUCGUCUGAGACUAAGCAAGAAGAGUGAAGCACCCGCGGUUGAUGCAACGGAGUAUAGAAGUGUGGUCCGAAGGUUGAGGUAUCUCACAAAUACAAGACCAGACUUGGCCUAUUCCGUUGGCAUGGUGAGUCGCUUCAUGGAAGCACCCACGACUGAACAUUGGGCAGCUGUAGAAAAUAUACUCAGGUACAUCAAAGGGACAACAAAUUUCGGUUGUGUCUAUUUGAGAGAGAAGAAGAAGGAGAUGGUGGAGCUACUUGGCUACAGUGAUAGCGAUAUGGCAGGAGAUGUGGACGACCGUAAAAGUACCUCGGGCAUGGCAUAUUUCUUGGGAGGAAGCAUAAUGAGUUGGCUAUCACAAAAGCAGAAGGUGGUCGCAUUAUCAUCUCAUGAAGUAGAGUAUGUUGCAGCUGCUACCGCGGUGUGUCAAGGCGUUUGCCUAGGAAGACUAGUCGGUGACCUCACAGGUAAGGAACCGGAACGAGUGAUGCUGAACGUUGACGACAAGUCUACAAUCUCUCUGUGGAAGAAUCCGGUGCAUCAUGGUCGAUGCAAGGACAUCGAUACAAGGUAUCGAUACCUAAGGGAGUGCGUGGAAGAAAGCAAAGUUGACGUCAACUACGUUUGCACCGAUGACCAGCUUGCAGAUAUCCUAACUAGAUCUUUGGGACGACAGAAGUUCGUGAAGAUACGGCGAAGGAUCGGUGUCCAAGCUGUGACGUGA
rnacentral:rRNA from 1 species